GCCCUUGUGGCACAAUAGUUAAGUGUUUGGCUACUAACCGAAAGGUUGGUGGUUUGAACCUAUCCAAUGGCU
rnacentral:tRNA from 1 species